GAGAGAGAGAGAGAGAGAGAGAGAGAGAGAGAACUUAUUUAAAAUUGAAAUCUUGACUCGAGUGGGAGAGCUAUACAAAGAGAGAGCAAAAGAGUGAAUGCCUUCUAGAUUUGUCUAAAUUUUUCACAAUAUAUUUAUUCAAGGAAAAUAUACAUUACGAGUUUUGCCUAACCUUGUGUAUACGUUACUGUAUGUGUACUGCUGUUUGUUGUGUCAUUUACUUUUGUUGUGUAAUUUGUAGUGUGAAAGUUUUCCUCAUAUUCGCUCAUUACUAACAGUGCUCGCGUUCCAAAGCCAAAACAAAAAAACACAAACUUCACUAGACAUUCAUUUGGUUAAUGGACAUUUCACUGUGUAAACUGUUGGUCAAUAAUCCAUAUGCAGAUAUUAUUUUAACAGCAUGUUCUGCCACUUUCAAAUUUCAGCCUGUAAAGAAGUGAUACUAGACAUGUCUAAACGUAACAUGAGCUCACCAAGGGGACAUAUUUAAAUAAGACGGGUGCAUAUUUAAAACAUAGGUGCAUAGUUCCUGGAUUUCUUUUUAUUGUUUUCUUUAUACACAAUUAAACCAGACUUAUCAAUUAUUUCAUGUAGAGCUAAAUACUGUAUCAAAGUGGGUAGAAAUGUAAAAGAGACAGAGACAAAGAGAGAGAAAAGUUGAUGCAAGCUUCAUAGAUCAAGUUGAAUCAGUACAUCUCACUCCCACAUACUUUCCCUGCCCAGCCCUCUUACAAAGAGUGAGAGGGUGAUAGCAAAGUCAAGGGCAAAGCGUUCUGUCAUGUAAAACAGAGACUCUGAGCCAAGAAAACCAGGCACAGUGGAGAGCAGCCAGCAACAGAGAGACAGCCCUGUUUAUCCCAGACAGGCAAUCGGGCAGGUGGGUUAAACACAGAUCAACACACAUUCCACUCGGCAAACAUAAGAUCAACAUGGUGAGAAAAGGCAUUUCACCUCCAGGCGUUAAACCACCUUCAUUUAUUGUAUAGCUAAUAUAAUUUUACCCCAAUGUUUGUUUAUUAUUUUCUCCACCCAACACAUAAGUUUCUGUUCCAAACAUACAAUUCUAUUCUGUAAUCUUUUGCGUACAGCACAGCACACUGAUGCCUCUGGCUGAAGGAAAUAGGGCUGUUUAUUAGACUAGAAACUAAAAUAGUAGCAGUCAGUAGCAUUACUACAAAGAGUUUGUGGAACAUGCACUUUUUCACAAUUUUGUGGGGAGACUCAAAACUGUGGUUGGGUUUCCUAAAGACUUACUGACAGGACAGAAGCAAAGUGUGUGUGCACACAUGUGGGUUCUUUACAAAUGAAGUAUUUUUAUCUCUCUUAUUGGCAAAUACAGCUUUGAGAUGCCUACAGUAAGAAGUAAUUGUUUUUUUUUUUUUUUGCAGCAUUGUGUCCAAUUCUUACCAAUUAUGACCCGUUUCUCUUGGCAAAUCUUCAUUGUGAUUGUGAAAAGUCCAAAAGUAUGUAGACACCUGACCAAUACACCAAUAUGAAUGUCUUCUCCAAACUGGUGCCAAGAUGAUGCCUUUGUGCAAACGGGAUCCAUGUAGACAUAAUUUUCCAAAAUUUGAAGAACUUGAAUGGCCUGCCUUUGCUCCCUGACUUUUUCAUUAAAAUUUCCACACAGGUUGUGCCGUUCACCAAAACAGGUUGUGUUUAUGAACAAACAGAGCAAUAUUUAGAAUUUUUUAAAAUGUGAAUAAAACCUCUUCCUAAAUUUUACAUGAUUACAACACUUUAAAUCUCAUUCUCAUGGAUGGCUCGGCAAAGCUGUCGCAAGGUUGCGACGGACUUUAACAGGAAACACUGUUGCCAAACUUAUUCAAAUUCAAGUGUUGCAAUCCAACUGAGAAGUGAGACGCCCAUGAACAUUCACUGACAAAGGCACAACCAACAUUGUACUGGUGUACAUAGUCCAGUUUGUAUGGAGACUUUUGCGAUAACCUGUAGACACUUUGGUAAACAAUUCACUGCUGCAGUUUAAUGAAAUUUAUGGGGAACUCGGGCUUCUAGCUAUUUAGUCUUAAAGCAAUUACAUCUUACACCUAUGCUGUCUGGGAAUGAUUAGGUGUGGUUCCACCUGCACACUAAAGAAUCAAUUGUGACAUGGAAGUUUAAGCGAAAACUCCCUGAUCAGCAGUUUCUGAAAUACUCAAACCAGCCUGUCUAACACCAACAACCAUACAACAGUCGAAGACCAACGUUCCCAAUAAACAUACACGUUCAUACACUACAAAAAAAAAAAAAAAUGAGGAAAGAAGUGUUUGUGAGAUAUGCACUGACAUCCUGUCUAUUAACUAGAAGAGGUGUCACAAGGUGAAAGUGGAUCUACAGUGGAAAUCAGGGGAGAAAAAAUAACACAUUGACUUGACUCUGCAAGACUGUUGUUAUUUCUGAGACUGUAUUACAUUGCAGCUUCUCUGAUUAAUUACUCUACAUAUAUGCUGUCAUGUAACAUACAGUUAAAAAUGAUUAUUGCAUAAUUGCUCCCUGUCAUGCCAUGACAGACAUCGUGUGCUCUGUGACUGUCAAACAUGAAAAAAAUGGCCCUAAUGACCUAAAUAAACACUUUAACAUGA